GCCGGUGGCAGGAGGCUGAAAACCCGGAUGGGCUGGAAAACGUACAGUGAAAGUCUAAAGACCUCUUUGGAGAGAGCUGCUAUUGGCUGAGCUAAGACUGCCGAACACCACUGCAUUUCCAGACCUGGGGAGUUCAGACCAAGGACAUUAGCUGCUCUGAAAACCAUCUUUUGACAGGAAGACGGCAUGAGGAUUAAGAGGAAGAAGUUGACAGUGACCAGACAGAAUCCUGUGUUUGAAUAGAAUUUAUGCAUCAUGGAUGAGAUGUAUGAAUAUGCAACAGGCGAUUGUUUUUAAGGGUUAAUCCUCUGUUAACGGGUGUCAUUUCUCAGGCUUGUGUUGCCCAGAAAAAGAGUCAUGGAGCAACACAUCCCUCAUCUCUUGGACCAGGCACAUCAGCCAUGGGUGGCCUCAACUCACCGAAGUUCUGAAGCAUCUCAAGGAAACCAUCACCCUUGUUGGCCUGAUCGAUACUGGAGCUGACGCCACUCUGAUAUCAAAAUUGAAAUGGCCACAGGACGGGACCAUCAUAUUCACACUGGACCAACUGGCAGGUAUUGGUGGUCACUGUGAAAGCUUUCCAAGCUCGCACUCUGUCACAUUUGAGGGACCUGAAGGUCGUGUUGCCACCACAAAACCAUUCAUAGUUGGAGCAGAUAUAGUGCUUUGGGGAAGAGACAUUUUCUUGUCUUGGCGAAUGCCCCAAGUGUGAGGACAUGAGGCUUGACUCCAUUUUCAUCAGAAGGCUGAUUUAUUGUUAUAUAUUAUACUAAAAUACUACAUUAAAAUUAUACUAAAAGAACAGAGAGAGAAGAAGAAGAAGAAGAAGAUCAGAAGGUUACAAAGACAAGAAUAGAAUAGGAAUGCAUAACAAAAGCCUGUGACUGCUCACAGCCUUGGCACAGGUGGCUGUGAUUGGUCACUAAUUGAAAACAAUCCACAUGGACCAAUGAAAGAUGCACCUGUUGCAUUCCACAGCAGCAGAUAGUUAUUGUUUACAUUUCUUUCCUGAGGCUCUCAGCUCCUCAGGACAGGAAAAAUCCUAGCAGAGGAUUUUUCAUAAGAUAUCAUAGCUACAACAUUUUCUCUCAAUGGAGUCUGAGAAUAGAAACCAAUUUUUAACAGGGGCUGUUGAUGGACAUAACACUCUAAAACUCACAUGGACAUCUAAUACACCUGUCUGGAUCAGCCAAUGGCUCUUACCAGAAGAGAAACUUACUUUAUUAGAGCAAUUGGUACAGGAACAAUUAAAUAAAGGUCACCUAACUCCAACUACCAACCCCUGGAAUACUCCAGUUUUUGUAAUCAAAAAGCCAAACAGUGGGAAAUGGAGGUUAUUGCAGGAUCUCAAAGGUUAACAAAGUGAUUCAAGAAAUGGGUUCUUUACAACCAGGUUUACCUUCUCCCCUUAUGAUUCCAAAGGAUUGGAAGUUAACUGUUAUUGAUUUAAAAGACUGUUUUUUCAAUACUCCUUUGCAUCCAGACAACGCACCACUAUUUGCCUUUUCCAUCCCAUCAAUAAAUCAGCAGGCCCCUUUUAAAAAUACCAUUGGCUCAUACUUCCUCAAGGUAUGCACAAUUCUCUGAGCAUAUGCCAAUGGUAUGUAGCAAAAGUACUUUCCUCAGUUCAUGUACAAUACCCAAAUUCCCUCAUCUUGCAUUAUAUGGAUGAUAUUUUGGUAGCAGCAAAGGACCAGGCAUCAAUGCAGGAGACAACAGAUCAGGUCAUCUCAGCAGUGGAGAAAGCAGGACUCAGUAGCGAAAGAAAAAAUACAGACACUUCCUCCCUGGAAAUAUUUAGGAUACAGGAUCACAGAACAAACGGUAACUCCGCAGCCACUCCAACUAAAGAGAAAUCAAAAAAAAACUGAAUGAAGUGCAGCAGCUGGUAGGGAAUCUGAACUGGCUUUGUCCACUGCUAGACAUUUCAAACCAGGACCUAGAACCUCUGUCUGAUCUAUUGAAGGGAGACACAGCUUUAAACUCACCACGAGAAUUCAACAAAGAAGCCCAAAAUGCUUUAGAUAAAGUGAUGCGAGCCAUCUAAUCACACCAGGCUCACUGAUAUAAUCCUAACUUGUCUUUUUUGUUUGCAGUUUUAGGGGAGAGUCCACAGCUUCACGGUUUAAUAUUCCUGUGGAAUCUAGAGAAGAAGGACCAUCUGAUAAUCUUAGAGUGGGUUUUCCUAUCUCGUCAGCUGGGUAAAACUAUAAAAACUUGCCCUGAAAUUAUGUUACAACUGAUUAUAAAGGCUAGAUCCCAAAUGUUUUUCCUUUCAGGAAAGGAUUUUGCAGAAAUCUUUCUGCCUGUCACAUCCAUCUAUUUGGAAUGGUUAAUUCAAAAUUCAGAGGUUAUGCAAUUUGCCCUAGAAAAUUUUACAGGGAAAAUAUCAGUCAAUUGUCCAAAACAUGAGCUACUAAAUUCAUCUUUAAAAUUAAUUCAUAAGCCCUUAAGAAGUCAUGCACUCCUAGAUGCAAUCACAUUUUUUACAGACGGUUCAGGGAAGUAAAAAAAAUCUGUGAUUGCUUGGCAAAAUCCAGAGACCAAAAAUGGGAAUCGGAUAUUGAAGAAGUAGAUGGUUCUUCAUAAAUAAUAAAGUUAACAGCACUUGUGUGGAUCUUUUCAAAAUUCACGUUUCCUUUUCAUUUAGUAAUGGAUUCAUUCUAUGUUGCAGGUGUAGUGGAGAGAGCAGAAGGAUCUCUGCUAAAGGAGGUUUCCAAUUACCAGCUAUAUGGUUUGCUUAAAAAAUUAAUCUUACUUCAUUCUAUUCAACAGAAACCUUACUUCAUAAUACACAUUCGUUCACAUUCUGUGCUUUCAAGUUUCCUAGCAGAAGGAAAUGCCAUGGCUGAUUUUUUAACCAUGUCAAUACAGAAUACACUUCCCAAUGUUAUCGAACAAGCCAGAAUGAGCCAUGCUUUCAAUCAUCAAAAUGCACCUGCCUUAGUAAGAAUGUUUAACAUCUCUCAGAACCAGGCUAAAGUGAUUGUUCAAUCAUGUCCAGAUUGCCAAAAAUUAGCCAUACCAGUAAUAGCAACAGGGGUUAACCCUCGAGGCUUAAAUAGCCUGCAGAUAUGGCAAACUGACAUAACUCAAUAUCAGUCAUUUGCAUGGUUCAAAAAUAUACACUUAUCAAUAGAUACAUUCUCAGGAGCAAUUUUCACUUCCGCACAUCAAGGAGAAAAGAGUAGAGAUGUUAUUAAACAUUUCUUACAAGCAUUUGCAUCCCUAGGUAUUCCUCAAGAAGUUAAAACGGACAACGGACCAGCCUACGUAUCUAACAAACUGCAGGAGUUUUUCAAAAUCUGGGGUAUCAAACACACCACAAAUAUUCCACAUUCUUCCACAGGCAAAUCUAUUGUAGAAAGAGCACAUAGAUCUUUGAAAAUGAUCCUUG